rnacentral:tRNA from 1 species
ACCUGGGUGGCUCAGACGGUUGAGCAUCUGACUUCAGCUCAGGUCAUGAUCUCGUGGUUUGUGGGUUCGAGCCCUGCGUCAGGUU